rnacentral:misc_RNA from 1 species
CCGAGUUUACAACUCCCAAACCCCUGUGAACAUACCUAUACGUUGCCUCGGCGGAUCAGCCCGCGCCCCGUAAAAAGGCGACGGCCCGCCCGAGGACCCCUAAACUCUGUUUUUAGUGGAACUUCUGAGUAAAACAAACAAAUAAAUCA